rnacentral:rRNA from 1 species
AGAGAGAGACAUGCGCGCAUAUCAAUAAGCGGAGGAAAAGAAACUAACAAGGAUUCCCCUAGUAACGGCGAGUGAAGCGGGAAGAGCUCAAAUUUGAAAUCUUAAAGGGUUUUCCCUUGACGAAUUGUAGUUUAAAGAAGUGUUUUCUGUUGAGGUUUUGGUAAAAGUUCUUUGGAAUAGGACAUCAUAGAGGGUGAGAAUCCCGUAUUUGACCAUUAUUUCCAGCUGUGUGAUACACUUUCAAAGAGUCGGAUUGUUUGGGAAUGCAGUCCAAAAUGGGUGGUAAAUUUCAUCUAAAGCUAAAUACUGGCGAGAGACCGAUAGCGAACAAGUACCGUGAGGGAAAGAUGAAAAGAACUUUGAAAAGAGAGUUAAACAGUACGUGAAAUUGUCAAAAGGGAAGCGUUUGACACCAGUGUUGUUUUCCUCGAAAAUCAAUUAAAAAAGGCAGGAUUUUGUGUUGUAUUGACUUUAUCAGCUUUCUGCACUCUUUUCUUGUCUUUUUUAAUGCACUUUUCGUUUAACAAGUCAACAUCAAUUUCUUUUGUUGUAAAAGGGUCAUUGGAAGGUGGACUUUCUUUUCGGAGAAAGUGUUUAUAGCCUUUGGCCUCUGCAAUCGGAGAGAUUGAGGUCUGCAGCGUAGAUCCUUCGGGGUUAGAUACAUUUGUGCUAAGUUAUAGCCUUUCAUAGACAACUUGUUGACUAUGAUCAGUCAUGUAGCUUACUCGCUUAUGCUAUUUUACCUACGCUUAGGAUGUUGAUGUGAUACUGCGAGCA